rnacentral:rRNA from 1 species
AUCCGUACGAGCGCACCCCUAUCCUUAGUUACCAGCGAGUAAUGUCGGGGACUCUAAGGAGACUGCCGGUGAUAAACCGGAGGAAGGCGGGGAUGAGGUCAAGUCAUCAUGGCCCUUAUGGGUAGGGCUACACACGUGCUACAAUGGCUGGUACAGAGGGACGCGAAGCGGUGACGUGGAGCAAAUCCUUUAAAGCUGGUCGCAGUCCGGAUUGAAGUCUGCAACUCGACUUCAUGAAGUUGGGAUCGCUAGUAAUCGCAAAUCAGCAUGUUGCGGUGAAUACGUUCUCGGGCCUUGUACACACCGCCCGUCACACCAUGGGAGUGGAUUGCACCAGAAGUGGGUAGGCUAACCUUCGGGAGGCCGCUCACCACGGUGUGGUUCAUGACUGGGGUGAAGUCGUAACAAGGUAGCCGUAGGGGAACCUGCGGCUGGAUCACCUCCUU